UCCGACUCGCCAGAGAACUACGAGCCAAGCUUAAAACUCAAAGGACUUGACGGUUCCCCACAUCCACCUAGAGGAGCCUGUCCUAUAAUUGAUGAUCCCCACUAAACCUCACCCCUUUUAGCUUAUCAGCCUGUAUACUUCCGUCGUCAACUUACCACAUGAGUGCAACUCAGUAGGUCCCGUCGCCUGACCGCACAAACGCCAGGUCAAGGUGCAGCAGAUAAAGGGGGAAGAGAUGGGCUACAUUCUCUAGCAUAGAGUAUACGAAAGGCCAAGAUGAAACCUUAGCCAGAAGGCGGAUUUAGCAGUAAAGGGUGAACAGAGUGCACCCUUUAAUAUGGCACUGAGGUGCGUACACACCGCCCGUCACCCUCCUCAAAAUUCCUACUCCAGUACUUAACACUUCGACAAUCCCAAAGAGGAGGCAAGUCGUAACA
rnacentral:rRNA from 1 species